CCUACGGGGGGCUGCAGUGGGGGAUAUUGCACAAUGGGGGAAACCCUGAUGCAGCGACGCCGCGUGGGCGAAGAAGGAUUUCGGUAUGUAAAGCCCUAUCAGUAGGGAAGAAGAAAUGACGGUACCUGAGUAAGAAGCACCGGCGAAAUACGUGCCAGCAGCCGCGGUAAUACGUAGGGGGCAAGCGUUAUCCGGAUUUACUGGGUGUAAAGGGAGCGCAGGCGGCAGGGCAAGCGUGAUGUGAAAGCCCGCGGCUCAACCGCGGAACUGCAUUGGAAACUGGCGGGCUGGAGUGCCGGAGAGGUAGGCGGAAUUCCUGGUGUAGCGGUGAAAUGCGUAGAGAUUAGGAGGAACACCAGUGGCGAAGGCGGCCUACUGGACGGUGACUGACGCUGAGGCUCGAAAGCGUGGGGAGCAAACAGGAUUAGAUACCCUAGUAGUC
rnacentral:rRNA from 1 species